rnacentral:rRNA from 1 species
GACGGGACCGCACAAGCGGUGGAUGAUGUGGUUUAAUUCGAUGCAACGCGAAAACCUUACCACCUUUGACAUGGCAGGAAUCCUGAAGAGAUUGGGAGUGCUCGGAAAGAGAACCUGCACACAGGUGCUGCAUGGCUGUCGUCAGCUCGUGUCGUGAGAUGUUGGGUUAAGUCCCGCAACGAGCGCAACCCUUGCCAUUAGUUGCUACGAAAGGGCACUCUAAUGGGACUGCCGGUGACAAACCGGAGGAAGGUGGGGAUGACGUCAAGUCCUCAUGGCCCUUAUAGGUGGGGCUACACACGUCAUACAAUGGCCGGUACAGAGGGUAGCCAACCCGCGAGGGGGAGCCAAUCCCACAAAGCCGGUCGUAGUCCGGAUCGCAGUCUGCAACUCGACUGCGUGAAGUCGGAAUCGCUAGUAAUCGCGGAUCAGCAUGUCGCGGUGAAUACGUUCCCGGGUCUU